UACGGGGGGGGGCAAGCGUUGUUCGGAAUCACUGGCGUAAAGGGCGCGUAGGUGGCCCGACAAGUCACUGGUGAAAGCUCGACGCUCAACGUCGAGUCGGCCAGUGAUACUGUUGGGCUGGAGCACUGUAGAGGCUCAUGGAAUUCCGGGGUGUAGCGGUGGAAUGCGUAGAGAUCCGGAAGAACACCGGUGGCGAAGGCGGCUUGCUGGGCAUGGUCUGACGCUGAGGCGCGAAAGCGUGGGGAGCGAACAGG
rnacentral:rRNA from 1 species